rnacentral:rRNA from 1 species
UGGAUGAACUGUGGGUAGGGGUGAAAGGCCAAUCAAACUGGGAAAUAGCUCGUACUCCCCGAAAUGCAUUUAGGUGCAGCGUUGCGUGUUUCUUGCCGGAGGUAGAGCACUGGAUAGCCGAUGGGCCCUACCAGGUUACUGACGUUAGCCAAACUCCGAAUGCCGGUAAGUGAGAGCGCAGCAGUGAGACUGCGGGGGAUAAGCUCCGUAGUCGA